rnacentral:rRNA from 1 species
CCAAUAGCGUAUAUUAAAGUUGUUACAGUUAAAAAGCUCGUAGUUGAAUUUCGGAAUCUGUCCGUUGGUCGGGCUUCACUGUCCGUACUGGUGUGAUGGGUUCUUACCUUCUGAAUAACCAGCAUGCCAUUCACUUGGUGCGCUGGGGAAGCAGGACUAUUACCUUGAAAAAAUUAGAGUGCUCAAAGCAGGCUAGUGCCUGAAUACAUUAGCAUGGAAUAAUAAAAUAGGACGGCAUGGUUCUAUUUUGUUGGUUUCUAGGAUCACCGUAAUGAUUAAUAGGGAUAGUUGGGGGCAUUAGUAUUCAAUUGUCAGAGGUGAAAUUCUUGGAUUUAUUGAAGACUAACUUCUGCGAAAGCAUUUGCCAAGGAUGUUUUCAUUAAUCAAGAACGAAAGUUAGGGGAUCGAAGACGAUCAGAUACCGUCGUAGUCUUAACCAUAAACUAUGCCGACUAGGGAUCGGACGAUGUUAAUUUUUUAAUGACUCGUUCGGCGCCUUACG